rnacentral:rRNA from 1 species
GCACAUGCAAUUGGAGCGGUAGACAUAAUCUUGCUUCUCUUGGAGAGCGGCGGACGGGUGAGUCAUGCCUAGGAAUCUGCCUGGUAGUGGGGGAUAACGUUCGGAAACGGACGCUACUACCGCAUACGUCCUACGGGAGAAAGCAGGGGACCUUCGGGCCUCCGGCUAUCAGAUGAGCCUAGGUCGGAUUAGCUAGUUGGUGGGGUAGUGGCUCACCAAGGCGACGAUCCGUAGCUGGGCUGAGAGGAUGAUCGCGGCACACUGGGACUGACACAGGGUCCGGACUCCGUACGGGAGGCAGGAGUGGGGAAUAUUGGACAAUGGGGGAAAGCCCGUAUGCCAGGCGAUGCCGGCGUGGUGUCGAGCGAAGCGUGCUCCGCGAGUCGUUCAACCGAGCCUUAUAGCUUGGGUAUGGACAUGGNUGUGUGAUGAUCUCAAGACGGUCUGCCG